AGUUUGAGUUAGUAUGCACGAUACUGCUGAGAUAUUACAUGAAGGGUACUAAAAUUAUUCAAAAAAAAAAUGUUUCUUUUUAAUUGGUUCAGUCAAAUAUUAGUUUUCAGCUUUAAAUACUUGUAAUCAAUAAUAAAUCCCUUGGAGGUUUUGCAGGUCGAUAUUAGAUGGUCUUUAUUUAUGAGGUUGAGCCUGCAAGGUAUGGAAACUUUGUUUGUAUCCGAUUUCCAGUGAUGGUGAUGAUAAAGUAGCUGUAAUCCCUAAACCUGGAAUGGCCAGAUAGUGGUGAAAUGAACUUUUGGUAGCUUUGUCAAUAGGGAUAAUAUAUUUUCUCCCUUGGCUAGUUUCACUUCGAUUUUGGUCUUAAAUUUGAAAAUUAUAAAAGUUUGAUCAUGAUGCACUCUAAGAUCAUGUCACAUAGUCACUUGAAAAUUGUAAAUUUAUAUAAAUUUUUAUGUGAUAAAGUGGAACAAUUUUAGAGUAUCACAUGUAAUGUUUUAAUAAUUGGAUAGGUGGUUGAAUAGGUUAGACCAUUGAUUUCUUAUUCAAUCAGAUUGAUCGGUUCAACCAUUGGACCAACAAUAAUUAAAAAUUCAUAACAAUCUAAAAAAAAUUAAAAAGAUAAAAAAUUAUUAAAUCGGUUCAACAUGUUCAACUGUCAAUUUCUGUUUCGGUUUUUUAUUUUCACCAAUUUCAAGUAGUGUUCGAGUCAAUUGAUUCAACCCAUUUGUUCGAACCGUUAAUCGAUCAGUUCUCGGCCCAUCUAAUUGAUCAUGUUCUAGUAACAUUGGUUAUUUUAUCAAAUCUCGACAGAAUUUGAGUUAAAUGACCAAAAUAAAUCUAAAUACCAAAUUCAAUAAUCAAAAAUAUAAAUAUAAAAAUAAUCCUAAUUAUCAAAUUCAAGUAAAAAAUUAAAUUAUAAUGGUCAAAGUUAAGCCAUUUGUUUAAACCGAAAAGCCUCGGAAAAGAAAUUGAUUAUUUUGAUAUGAAUGGUUUGAAGGUUAUUACCAAACUAAAACUGGAAAAAAAAUUAUUUAUUUUAUUUUUAAUUAUUAUAAAAAGAUAAUUUUUAUACACCUAUAAUAAUAUUUGAGACAUUUCUAACAACAUUUAAAAUUUAGAUCAUAUUUAAUUUUUUAAAUUUUAAAUUUAAAAAUUAAAAUGUAUUAAUAAUGUUAUUACUUAAUAAGACUUAGAUUGCAUUUUUAGUAAAAUUUACAAAUGUAAUUUUUUAUUAAAGACUGUUUUUAUUUAAUAAAUUAAAAUUAAUAUAUUUUCAUAUACAAUUUAAAUAUUUUAUUAAAAUAAUACUUUAAGUAAAAAAUUAUUUUUAUUUCAUGUAAGAAUAGAAUUAUUUUUACUAAAAUGUAAGACAAUAGGAUGUUUUAGAUAACUAAUUUAGUAAAGUUGUUAUUGUUAUUGUUAUAAAUGAAAAGUUGGUAUAGAUAGAAAAAAAUAAAACAUAAAAAACCAGCUUGUUAUAAUGAAAUGUUGUAAUAGAUGUUGGUUGUUAUAAAGAGUUGAUAGAGCCCACACUCUAUCAAUUUGAGAUUGAGCUUAAUAGAUGAUAAGAUAUAAAAGUAACAUGUUUUCAUCUUAUUCUUAAUACGUUUUUGGAUGAUUAAUUAUGCAAAUUAGCGAAUUUCAUGCUUCUAAUCUUUUAAAUUUAUGUUUUUAUAUUUAGGAGAGCAUUUGGGAGCGAAAGGAGCGAAAAACAAGCCAAAAUUGAACAAAUAGAGUUGUUUUCAGGAGCCACACAGGCUGGACACACGCCCAUGUGCCAUCCCAUGUCGAUUUCACAUCCUACUUCCCAAAUAUGAGGAAAACCCUAAUUUUUAAGCUUUCUAAGCAUUCUAAAGUCUAUAAAUACCCAUUAGAAGAAGACAUAAGAGGGCAAUCAGAGAAGAUCGAAGAAAACACUCGAAGAACAGCAUCGCAAUCAACUCAAAAAUGGGUCUCUAUCAAGAUCGAAGACUCUCCUUUUAAUUUCUUUCAAAGUUUUAUUGAGUUUUUUAUGUCUUGUGAUUAUUCUGACUUUGAGAUGUUUUCAUUUAGAAUUAUGAACUAAUUCCCUAGAUACCUAGGGAGGAUGAAACUUAUGAUGAAUUCUUUUAUUUAAUUUUUGUUUUUAUGCGAUAAAUAUUUGAUUCUUGUUCUCAAUUAUGUAUGCUUAUUUCUUAUUUUAAAAUUUUCGGGAAAUUAAUUCAUGUUUAAU
rnacentral:lncRNA from 1 species